rnacentral:lncRNA from 1 species
GUCAGUGCGGUUUCGCCUUUAUGGUGGUGGAGUCUGCCCAGGCUGUGGACCGCAAAUAACCCUGUACAAAGAGGAAUGGAGAUUGCCUCUAUCCACCUAGAUUCAUAAGCUGGCCUGAGGUGAUCUUGGCAUCAAGGAAGGGAUGCACAUCAUCACACCAUCAGCUUCAGAGAAUGGCAGCCAUUUAUUUGUCCCGUGGUAAGUCUUUGUUGAUGCUCUUUUUCAGAGAUUCUGCUUUAGGUCACCCUCCACAACACAAGCGUCCAGUGAGCUGAGCCUGAGCAGGCAUGCAGCUGGUUCUUUUAGGAGGAAUUGAAGUGAACCACAGAACAGAAUGCUGUUUUAUUAUUUAUUUAUUUAUUUAUUUAUUUUUGAGACAGAAUCUUGUUCCGUCACCCAGGCUGGAGUGCAGUGGUGCAAUCUUAGCUCACUGCAACCUUCACCUCCCAGGUUCAAGUGAUUCUCUUGCCUCAGCCUCCCAAGUAUCUGGGACCACAAGCACAUACUGCCAGACCUGGCUAAUUUUUGUUUGUUUGUUUGUUUUUGUUUUUGAGA